rnacentral:rRNA from 1 species
GACGAACGCUGGCGGCGUGCCUAAUACAUGCAAGUAGAACGCACAGUUUAUACCGUAGCUUGCUACACCAUAGACUGUGAGUUGCGAACGGGUGAGUAACGCGUAGGUAACCUGCCUGGUAGCGGGGGAUAACUAUUGGAAACGAUAGCUAAUACCGCAUAAUAUUAAUUAUUGCAUGAUAAUUAAUUGAAAGGUGCAAUUGCACCACUACCAGAUGGACCUGCGUUGUAUUAGCUAGUAGGUGAGGUAACGGCUCACCUAGGCGACGAUACAUAGCCGACCUGAGAGGGUGAUCGGCCACACUGGGACUGAGACACGGCCCAGACUCCUACGGGAGGCAGCAGUAGGGAAUCUUCGGCAAUGGACGAAAGUCUGACCGAGCAACGCCGCGUGAGUGAAGAAGGUCGUCGGAUCGUAAAGCUCUGUUGUAAGAGAAGAACGGGUGUGAGAGUGGAAAGUUCACACUGUGACGGUAUCUUACCAGAAAGGGACGGCUAACUACGUG